rnacentral:rRNA from 1 species
CUCCUACGGGAGGCAGCAGUAGGGAAUCUUAGACAAUGGGGGAAACCCUGAUCUAGCCAUGCCGCGUGUGUGAUGAAGGCCUUAGGGUCGUAAAGCACUUUCGCCAGAGAUGAUAAUGACAGUACCUGGUAAAGAAACCCCGGCUAACUCCGUGCCAGCAGCCGCGGUAAU